rnacentral:lncRNA from 1 species
AAAUAAACUCAAAACCCAACAAACCGAAUUGAAUCAGAAUUAGGAGGCUUGGGCGGCAAGAUCUAUUGAAGAGUAUGACUAAGGGACGUUUCUUUAAUGCCAAGAAUGGUGCCGAACAGAUUCUUGAAGAUUGGAAUGGCUGAAAACGCAACAAGAGAAAUUAAAUCAAGUUAAUCAACCAAUCGACAUAAACAGAAACAA